GACAAAGGGGGCUAGCGUUGUUCGGAAUUACUGGGCGUAAAGCGUGUGUAGGUGGUUGUCCAAGUUGGAUGUGAAAGCCUUGAGCUCAACUCAAGAAAUGCAUUCAGGACUGGGCGACUAGAGGACCGGAGAGGAUAGUGGAAUUCCCAGUGUAGUGGUGAAAUACGUAGAGAUUGGGAAGAACACCAGUGGCGAAGGCGGCUAUCUGGACGGUUUCUGACACUAAGACACGAAAGCGUGGGGAGCAAACAGG
rnacentral:rRNA from 1 species